rnacentral:rRNA from 1 species
AGCGAACGCUGGCGGCAGGCCUAACACAUGCAAGUCGAACGAACCUUUCGGGGUUAGUGGCGAACGGGUGAGUAACACGUGGGAACGUGCCUUUAGGUUCGGAAUAACUCAGGGAAACUUGUGCUAAUACCGAAUGUGCCCUUCGGGGGAAAGAUUUAUCGCCUUUAGAGCGGCCCGCGUCUGAUUAGCUAGUUGGUUGAGGUAAUGGCUCACCAAGGCGACGAUCAGUAGCUGGUCUGAGAGGAUGAUCAGCCACAUUGGGACUGAGACACGGCCCAAACUCCUACGGGAGGCAGCAGUGGGGAAUCUUGCGCAAUGGGCGAAAGCCUGACGCAGCCAUGCCGCGUGAAUGAUGAAGGUCUUAGGAUUGUAAAAUUCUUUCACCGGGGACGAUAAUGACGGUACCCGGAGAAGAAGCCCCGGCUAACUUCGUG